UUAGCUCAUAUUUGUAUGGAAGGGGAUCGUUCGCCUACGUUUGCCGCUAGGGGCGCUGUUCCAACUGCAUACAAAAUUGGGCUA
rnacentral:pre_miRNA from 1 species